AUUGAACGCUGGCGGCAGGCCUAACACAUGCAAGUCGAGCGAGCGGCGGAGGGGGGAGUAAUGUCUGGGAAACUGCCUGUUAGAGGGGGAUAACUACUGGAAACGGUAUCUAAUACCGCAUACCAUCCGAUUUGGGCAGUUGGGAUUAGCUGGUGGGUGGGGUAACGGCUCACCUAGGCGACGAUCCAUAGCUGGUCUGAGAGGAUGACCAGCCACACGGGAACUGAGACACGGUCCAGACUCCUACGGGAGGCAGCAGUGGGGAAUAUUGCACAAUGGGCGAAAGCCUGAUCCAGCCAUGCCGCGUGAGUGAAGAAGGUCUUCGGGUUGUAAAGCACUGUCAGCGGGGAGGCGUUACCCACCGAAGAAGCACCGGCUAACUCCGUGCCAGCAGCCGCGGUAAUAC
rnacentral:rRNA from 1 species